CCUUUGGACUGUCAUAUAAAAUGAAAGUAGCUUUGAAUUUAUUCAUUGUAAAAUCAGACAGGAUGAAUAAGGAA
rnacentral:sRNA from 1 species